CCUACGGGAGGCAGCAGUAGGGAAUCUUUCACAAUGGGCGAAAGCCUGAUGGAGCAACGCCGCGUGCAGGAUGAAGGCCUUCGGGUUGUAAACUGCUUUUAUAAGCGAGAAAUAUCAUGGUAACUUAUGAAUAAGGAUCGGCUAACUACGUGCCAGCAGCCGCGUUCAUACGUAGGAUCCGAGCAUUAUCCGGAGUGACUGGGUGUAAAGAGUUGCGUAGGUGGCAUAAUAAGUAGCUAGUGGAAUCUGGUGGCUCAACCAUUCAGACUAUUAGCUAAACUGUUAAGCGCGAGACCGUUAGGGGUAACUGGAAUUUCUAGUGUAGGAGUGAAAUCCGUAGAUAUUAGAAGGAACACCAAUAGCGUAGGCAGGUUACUGGGACGGUUCUGACACUAAGGCACGAAAGCGUAGGGAGCAAACGGGAUUAGAUACCCCAGUAGUC
rnacentral:rRNA from 1 species